GUGAGGAAUUUUCCGCAAUGGGCGAAAGCCUGACGGAGCAAUGCCGCGUGAAGGAUGAAGGCCUAUGGGUUGUAAACUUCUUUUCUCAGAAAAGAAUUAUGACGGUAUCUGAGGAAUAAGCAUCGGCUAACUCUGUGCCAGCAGCCGCGGUAAGACAGAGGAUGCAAGCGUUAUCCGGAAUGAUUGGGCGUAAAGCGUCUGUAGGUUGUUUAAAAAGUAUUCUGUCAAAGAUUAGGGCUUAACCCUAGAUAGGCAGAAUAAACUUUUAAGAUAGAGUUUGGUAGAGGCAGAGGGAAUUCCCGGUGGAGCGGUGAAAUGCGUAGAUAUCGGGAGGAACACCAAAGGCGAAGGCAAUCUGCUGGGCCAAUACUAACACUGAGAGACGAAAGCGAGGGGAGCAAAUGGGAUUAGAAACCCGGGUAGUCC
rnacentral:rRNA from 1 species